rnacentral:rRNA from 1 species
GACGAACGCUGGCGGCGUGCUUAACACAUGCAAGUCGAACGGAAAGGCCCUGCUUUUGUGGGGUGCUCGAGUGGCGAACGGGUGAGUAACACGUGAGUAACCUGCCCUUGACUUUGGGAUAACUUCAGGAAACUGGGGCUAAUACCGGAUAGGAGCUCCUGCUGCAUGGUGGGGGUUGGAAAGUUUCGGCGGUUGGGGAUGGACUCGCGGCUUAUCAGCUUGUUGGUGGGGUAGUGGCUUACCAAGGCUUUGACGGGUAGCCGGCCUGAGAGGGUGGCCGGCCACAUUGGGACUGAGAUACGGCCCAGACUCCUACGGGAGGCAGCAGUGGGGAAUAUUGCACAAUGGGCGGAAGCCUGAUGCAGCAACGCCGCGUGCGGGAUGACGGCCUUCGGGUUGUAAACCGCUUUCGCCUGUGACGAAGCGUGGGUGACGGUAAUGGGUAAAGAAGCACCGGCUAACUACGUG